GGUGGGGUGCCUGAGUGGUCUAAAGGGGCUGAUUCGAAAUCAGCUUUCCCCGAAAGGGGAACGUGGGUUCAAAUCCCACCCCCACCG
rnacentral:tRNA from 1 species